GUUUCCCUGCGGUGUUCGUUAAGGUCGUAAUUCCUUUGAACCAAUGUCUACGUGACAAGGUCGCCGACCCUAGACGCCGCUGUUGUGAGCAUCCCUCGCCGGAUGCACCUGAUGCGGCAGGAAAGCGGCCUCCCUGAACCCAGGUUCAGGAGAUUCGACCUGACGGCAUGCGCGGGGAACCA
rnacentral:other from 1 species